AUCAUAACUUUUAAUGUUUUAAGUGAUUUUGCUGGCUGUCAGUAUCCACCUCCACUAUCAUUCUCUACCAAGGCACUAGCACAUCCAUACACACUACAACCAUAUCUUUCAAAUGAUAAAACAUAUAAAGUUUGAGAAGAGAAUCGAGUCAUCAGAUCAUCAAAUAAUCCAUUAUCAAUUUGACAGUACUUUUAUGUUCAUGGAAAGACUAUUAGCCACGUAUAUAUAUAUAUAUAUAUAGUUUCCAUAGUCAUUAUUUUUGGCAAACAAAUAUUUUAAAAUUAAAAUCUUAUAAAACUUUAUAAUACGAGAUCCGCUAGGAAUCUUGGCACCAUCAUUGAAUUUUCUUCAUUGGUUCUAGACAAGACUGAUCUUUAUCUCUACUUUUCAUUUGUUCCCCCUUUAUGAUCCGAUCUUAUAGGAAACUGACAUAUGAAAUCUAUGAAAAAUAUCAGAAGAAUGUUUUGAGAAAUAGCGAUAAUAAAUUUCAAUUGUUAAAAUCCAAGAUGACUUCAUAUUAGCCAUUGUCUCGGUUUCAAAAUAAAAAGACAAGACAAAAGGAAACCUACAUCUUACGAAAAAGUGAGAAAGAUCUGUCAAAAACUUUUUUGAGAUACAAUUUGUAUAUGAUGAUGAAAAACUUCAACUUGAGGGGAAUGGACAUUUGAAAUUUGAGAAAAAUGAUUCCACUUUUUCUUUAAAAAUAGCAAUGGCAAAUUUCCAGAACUACCAGGUAGUAUCAAAAUCCAAGAUGAUUGCUUGUCAGUAUGUUUCUCCAAUCACUGUAAAAAAAUUUGAAGUAAUAACUAGGGACUGAGGGACCAAUCUAUCAAGUUUGAGAAAUAUCCUUUACAAACUUCUGAAGAAAUAGCAAUAAAAAACUUCAACUUUCAAAAUCAAAGAUGGCCCCCAAUCAGCCAUUUUGUUUUUUCUGAUCACUCAAAAUUGCUUGGAUACAACUGAAAGCCAAGGGGAGCCUACAUGUGAAGUCUGAUAAAAAAGUAAAUGGCCACAACGUACUAGAGACCAAGGAGAGUUUUUGUAAUUAAGAACUUCAUUGUUCUAUUACUGCACUUCUAAAGAAACUGAGAUAACAAACAUCAACUAAUGAAAUCCAACUGCCUGUCAGCCAUUUUGUUCCAAUCACACUAAAUAUGAAAAGGGCACAACCAAAGACUAGGGCGACACCUGAAGAUGACGUUUGAGAAAUAUUAAUCCAGUACUUUGCAAGGAACAGCAAUCACAAGGGUUGUUUAUUGACAGAUGAUGGACCACAAACAUAUUGAGGGUGAAUUAAGUGUCUCACCACCUGAUGAUGUGGGCUAAAAAUACAAGUCCAAAAACAGUAUAAAAUGGACAAGGGCUAUUUCUAUCGACAUGUGAUUUAGCUCGAAUUGGUGACUUUCAAAUGUCACAACGAAAAAUUCAUCAACUGACCUAGGUAGGAGUUACCUACCCUUAUCAAUCUUGUUGAUGUGCAUUCGUAACUACUCAGCCGAUUCCAUACCUUCCAUCUAACCGUAGAGAAUAGGCCGAGGUGUUCCGAGUUAGAUGACCGUAGAUAAUCGGUCGAGGUGUUCCGAGUGGUUGAUGUGUCAUGAUUUAGGACAAGCCGGCAUAUUAAUGUGUAGGAAAUAUAGUUCUUAUUACACUGUAAUAAAGCAGGUCAUUGUCUAUAAUUCAAAUGAUAUUUCAAUAAUCUAUUGAUCUAAAACAGAUGUCUUCAAUCAAAUAAAAUCAUGAUUCAUUUAAAAUUAAAAACAAAUACGCAUGUAUAUUGAAUCCCUUCAUGGAAGGAGAUAUUGUUUGUUCUUUUGUAAAGAAAAGAUUCUGUCCCCUCCUGAACCAGCUAGCAGGAUUGUUGUUGAAAUACAUAACAGUGGAUUCCCCCCGAGGAAUUCAAAUAAUUCAGUCUUUGCCAAGAAUGACUACUAUAACAGCAAUUAAAACAUGGUUGAAGAUUUCAACACAUUUGACCCCUGUGACCUUGAAAGUAGGUCAAAGUCAUUCAUUUAAACAAACUUGGUAGUCCUUCAUUCUAGCAUGCUUCUUGUCCAAUAUCAUGACCCUCAGCUCUUGGUUAUUGAGAAGUCAAAAAUGUAUAUUGCUUACAGAAGGAUGACGACAGACAAAAUGUGAUUAGAAUAAGUCACUUGAGACUGAAAUUAUUUAACACAUUUGACAAAAUGGCUGCCUGAAGGCCAUUUUGUUUCCAGAUCAGUGUCAAAAAUAAACAAGAACAAGGGGAAACUUACAUAUGAAAUGAUAACAAAGAUCUGUGAAAAACUUUCUCAGAAUAGCGAUUAGCAUCUUCAACAGACAAAAUUCAAAAUGUCUACCUUUAAACCAUCCUGUUUUCUGCUCAGUCUGAAAAUUUAACAUGCAUGAUUCGGGACCAAGGGAAAACGACAUGAAAUUUGAGGCAUAGAUUCCUGCUACUUCUCAAGAAAUAGUGAUAACAAGGUAUUGUUUACAGAUGGACAACAGACCAGUUAUGGAUGGUGAUUU